GGGGCUAUAACUCAAAUGGGAGAGUGUUGCCCUUGCAAGGCAAAAGUUGUCAGUUCGAAUCUGACUAGCUCCACCA
rnacentral:tRNA from 1 species